rnacentral:tRNA from 1 species
CGGGGCGUGGCGCAGUUGGUUCAGCGCACCAGCUUGGGGUGCUGGGGGUCGUCCGUUCAAAUCGGAUCGCCCCGA